GUUUGAUCCUGGCUCAGAGUGAACGCUGGCGGUGUGCUUAACACAUGCAAGUCGAACGAGAACGGUACUAGCUUGCUAGUAUGUCAGCUAAGUGGCGGACGGGUGAGUAAUGUAUAGUUAAUCUGCCCUUUAGAGAGGAAUAACUACUGGAAACGGUAGCUAAUACCUCAUACUCCUUUUACCUUAAUGGUAAUUGGGAAACGUUUUUCCGCUAAAGGAUGAGACUAUAUGGUAUCAGGUAGUUGGUGGGGUAAGAGCCCACCAAGCCAAUGACGCCUAGCUGGUCUGAGAGGAUGAUCAGGCACACUGGAACUGAGACACGGUCCAGACUCCUACGGGAGGCAGCAGUGGGGAAUAUUGCACAAUGGAGGAAACUCUGAUGCAGCAACACCGCGUGGAGGAUGACACAUUUCGGUGCGUAAACUCCUUUUAUAUGGGAAGAUAAUGACGGUACCAUAUGAAUAAGCACCGGCUAACUCCGUGCCAGCAGCCGCGGUAAUACGGAGGGUGCAAGCGUUACUCGGAAUCACUGGGCGUAAAGCGCGCGCAGGCGGCCAUUUAAGUUGGAUGUGAAAGCCUACGGCUCAACCGUAGAACUGCAUCCAAAACUAUUUGGCUAGAGUGUGGGAGAGGAAGAUGGAAUUAGUUGUGUAGGGGUAAAAUCCGUAGAGAUAACUAGGAAUACCAAAAGCGAAGGCAAUCUUCUGGAACAUUACUGACGCUGAGGCGCGAAAGCGUGGGGAGCAACAGGAUUAGAUACCCUGGUAGUCCACGCCCUAAACGAUGAAUGUUAGUCGUCGGGUAGCUAGUCUAUUCGGUGAUGCAGCUAACGCAUUAAACAUUCCGCCUGGGGAGUACGGUCGCAAGAUUAAAACUCAAAGGAAUUGACGGG
rnacentral:rRNA from 1 species